GAUGAACGCUGGCGGCGUGCCUAAUACAUGCAAGUCGAGCGAACGGACGAGAAGCUUGCUUCUCUGAUGUUAGCGGCGGACGAGUGAGUAACACGUGGAUAACCUCCCUAUAAGACUGGGAUAACUUCGGGAAACCGGCGCUAAUACCGGAUAAUAUUUUGCACCGCAUGGUUCAAACGUGAGAGACGGUCUUGCUGUCACUUAUAGAUGGAUCCGCGCUGCAUGAGCUAGUUGGUAAGGUAACGGCUUACCAAGGCAACGAUGCAUAGCCGACCUGAGAGGGUGAUCGGCCACACUGGAACUGAGACACGGUCCAGACUCCUACGGGAGGCCGCAGUAGGGAAUCUUCCGCAAUGGGCGAAAGCCGGACGGAGCAACGCCGCGUGAGGGAUGAAGGUCUUCGGAUCGUAAAACUCUGUUAUUAGGGAAGAACAAAUGUGUAAGUAACUGUGCACAUCUUGACGGUACCUAAUCAGAAAGCCACGGCUAACUACGUG
rnacentral:rRNA from 1 species